rnacentral:rRNA from 1 species
AGCUGGGGACUCUAAAGGAACUGCCUACGCAAGUAGUGAGGAAGGCGGGGAUGACGUCAAAUCAGCACGGCCCUUACGUCCAGGGCUACACACGUGCUACAAUGGCCGAUACAGAGGGCAGCUACCUGGUGACAGGAUGCAAAUCUCCAAAGUCGGUCUCAGUUCGGAUCGGAGUCUGCAACCCGACUCCGUGAAGUUGGAUUCGCUAGUAAUCGCGCAUCAGCCAUGGCGCGGUGAAUACGUUCCCGGGCCUU